rnacentral:rRNA from 1 species
AGGUGCUGCAUGGCUGUCGUCAGCUCGUGUCGUGAGAUGGUUAGGGUUAACGUCCCGUAACGAGCGCCAACCUUCGUCCUAGUUACCAGCACGUUAUGGUGGGCACUCUAAGGAGACUGCCGGUGACAAACCGGAGGAAGGUGGGGAUGACGUCAAGUCAUCAUGGCCCUUACGGCCUGGGCUACACACGUGCUACAAUGGUCGGUACAAAGGGUUGCCAAGCCGCGAGGUGGAGCUAAUCCCAUAAAACCGAUCGUAGUCCGGAUCGCAGUCUGCAACUCGACUGCGUGAAGUCGGAAUCGCUAGUAAUCGUGAAUCAGAAUGUCACGGUGAAUACGUUCCCGGGCCUU